GGGUCAGUAGGUUGGUCGUGCCACCGGUACGUACUGGUCUCACUGAUUCCUCCUUCCUGAAGAACCGUAACGCCAUUAAUUUGGUGUUGCGGGGAAACAGGACUGUUACUUUGAAAAAAUUAGAGUGUUUAAGGCAAGCUAACGCUUGAAUACAUUAGCAUGGAAUAAUGAAAUAGGACGAUCGAUCCUAUUUUGUUGGUUUCUAGGAUUGACGUA
rnacentral:rRNA from 1 species